rnacentral:rRNA from 1 species
ACUGCGGGAGGAUCAUUG